AUACCCGUUUGCAUGUACUUUAUGAAUAAGGAUCGGCUAACUCCGUGCCAGCAGCCGCGGUAAUACGGAGGAUCCGAGCGUUAUCCGGAUUUAUUGGGUUUAAAGGGAGCGUAGAUGGAUGUUUAAGUCAGUUGUGAAAGUUUGCGGCUCAACCGUAAAAUUGCAGUUGAUACUGGAUAUCUUGAGUGCAGUUGAGGCAGGCGGAAUUCGUGGUGUAGCGGUGAAAUGCUUAGAUAUCACGAAGAACUCCGAUUGCGAAGGCAGCCUGCUAAGCUGCAACUGACAUUGAGGCUCGAAAGUGUGGGUAUCAAACAGGAUUAGAUACCCUGGUAGUCCACACGGUAAACGAUGAAUACUCGCUGUUUGCGAUAUACUGCAAGCGGCCAAGCGAAAGCGUUAAGUAUUCCACCUGGGGAGUACGCCGGCAACGGUGAAACUCAAAGGAAUUGACGGGGGCCCGCACAAGCGGAGGAACAUGUGGUUUAAUUCGAUGAUACGCGAGGAACCUUACCCGGGCUUAAAUUGCAGAUGAAUUACGGUGAAAGCCGUAAGCCGCAAGGCAUCUGUGAAGGUGCUGCAUGGUUGUCGUCAGCUCGUGCCGUGAGGUGUCGGCUUAAGUGCCAUAACGAGCGCAACCCUUGUUGUCAGUUACUAACAGGUUCCGCUGAGGACUCUGACAAGACUGCCAUCGUAAGAUGUGAGGAAGGUGGGGAUGACGUCAAAUCAGCACGGCCCUUACGUCCGGGGCUACACACGUGUUACAAUGGGGGGUACAGAGGGCCGCUACCACGCGAGUGGAUGCCAAUCCCCAAAACCUCUCUCAGUUCGGACUGGAGUCUGCAACCCGACUCCACGAAGCUGGAUUCGCUAGUAAUCGCGCAUCAGCCACGGCGCGGUGAAUACGUUCCCGGGCCUUGUACACACCGCCCGUCAAGCCAUGGGAGCCGGGGGUACCUGAAGUGCGUAACCGCGAGGAGCGCCCUAGGGUAAAACUGGUGACUGGGGCUAAGUCGUAACAAGGUAGCCGUACCGGAAGGUGCGGCUG
rnacentral:rRNA from 3 species